UACGUAGGUGGCAAGCGUUGUUCGGAAUUACUGGGCGUAAAGGGCGCGUAGGCGGCCUACUAAGUCAGACGUGAAAUCCCCCGGCUUAACCUGGGAACUGCGUCUGAUACUGGAAGGCUUGAGGAUGGGAGAGGGAUGUAGAAUUCCAGGUGUAGCGGCGAAAUGCGUAGAUAUCAGGAGGAACACCGGUGGCGAAGGCGCUCAUCUGGCCCAAUACUGACGCUGAGGCGCGAAAGCUAGGGUAGCGAACGGG
rnacentral:rRNA from 1 species